CCGCGGGGCACCCGCCCCCGGGAACUGACACCGGUACCUGAUACGGCCGGUGCAG
ncrna:Streptomyces griseoflavus L17-Actino-Proteobacteria ribosomal protein leader